GUGAGGAAUAUUGGUCAAUGGACGAGAGUCUGAACCAGCCAAGUAGCGUGAAGGAUGACUGCCCUAUGGGUUGUAAACUUCUUUUAUAAGGGAAUAAAGUGAGGGACGUGUCCCUUUUUGUAUGUACCUUAUGAAUAAGGAUCGGCUAACUCCGUGCCAGCAGCCGCGGUAAUACGGAGGAUCCGAGCGUUAUCCGGAUUUAUUGGGUUUAAAGGGAGCGUAGGUUGACGUAUAAGUCAGCUGUGAAAGUUUACGGCUCAACCGUGAAAUUGCAGUGGAUACUGUAUGUCUUGAGUGUACAAGAGGUGGGCGGAAUUCGUGGUGUAGCGGUGAAAUGCUUAGAUAUCACGAAGAACUCCAAUUGCGAAGGCAGCUCACUGGGGUACAACUGACACUGAGGCUCGAAAGUGUGGGUAUCAAACAGGAUUAGAAACCCUUGUAGUCC
rnacentral:rRNA from 1 species